rnacentral:lncRNA from 1 species
AACAUCAUUAUUAUAACAUCAUUUAUUCAUUAUUAUCUUAGCUUUAAUAAAGAUAAAAUUCAUAUGUUAAACUGGUAUUAUACAGAGUUUUCCCGACAUUUAGAAAUAAAUUUACCUAAUUGCUGUCUUUACACGAGAGAUGCUGAACCCCUUGAAUUAUACAAGGUGUAUAGCUUUCAUGGCUUCUUGAAUUUCUCACGUUUCUUUAUCUUAGUUUAAAUCCUCCAUGCCUUUUUUUGCUUCUGUAACUACUUCAAAGAUGAAGUAAAAGCCUCCAUGGCAGUUGUCUAAUGCGGUCAUAUCUCCAACAAUGGUUUCAAGCUCCCUUAAAAAUUAAUGAUGCAAAAAUAAUAUAGAAAAUCGAGUUGCUUGAUAACAAAGAUAAGCUCAAUCGAAGACUCAAAACAAAAUAUGCUCAUACCAUUCAUCAGUAGGCAUAUAUGUGUCAGGUCAACCCAUUCUUGAACACACAGAUUAGCUUAUUUUGUUAAAAUAAAACAAUGCCUAAUAAGACUUUCCACAGUGUAUCAAACUCCCAGCACCCAGAAAAAGACCAAAAAGGGCAGCACUUCCAAGCGUUGUUUGUCCAAUGUGCCUAAUUUUCAGGAGCCUGGGACCUGCAUUUUAAGAAAGAACAUAAGAAAUCAAAUUGGAGUCCUGCUACAUAUUGCAAAAGUUUUCCACCGAAUUAUAAUUGCAAAAGACAACGAUACAUGAAAUUUGUUAGGAUUACAAGGGCGGUGCACCAUAUCCCAUAUCUCUUUAAAAGAGUUACCAUUUCACAUUUAUCCACAUAUAACUAACAACAAAAAAAUCGAUACAUCGUAAGAUAUAUAUACAAACACAUUCAAGGAAUUAAUUUGCAGAAUAGAGUUUCAAAUAACAUCUUUUGAUAAAUAUUGAAUGCAAGAACAGAAUUUAUGAUGAACCACAGUAGCCUAGUAUAACACAACCAUUCAGCACUUCUGUGCUAAGUUACAUGGACUCCAAUGGAGUAUCCAAUUGGAUAUGGGUACUUUGAAGAGUCCAACAUACAUAUUUCUCAUUUUUACCAAUUUUUAUGCUAAAAUGAAUUUGAGUGUCAAAUGCAAGUAUUUCAGGACAAAAGGAAGAGUUCAUGUAACAUGGCUUCUGUUAUUAUGAUUUAUACUACAAUUUGCAAGACAACAUUUAAAACACAAACAUCCCUUCAAAUCAUGGUUGUCAUCGUAGAACUUUUGAAACAAUUUCAAUACAAAUAUGAAAGGCAUCAGAAUUGUUUAAAAUACCAACCAAGUUGCGACCCAAACAGAAUGAAACAUAAUGACCCCAUUAGUAACGAAGUACCCCAAAAAUGAAUCACAUAAAAGAAUCCAAGUCCAUCCUUCUCCACUUAGUGAACCCACUAGUCAACUGCGAUUUUUUCAGCAACUCUGAAAGUUAGUCUUGAUAGGUUUUCUAAAUUCAUGGCCUCUAAGUCUUAUGUUUCUUAUAGUAGAGUACUGUAAUGUAAAAUAGAGUAGAAUUGUGAGUGCUCUACAUAUUCCUCGACGAGAAUAGGUUUCUUCUCCACUCUUAUACCUUCUUUCACCCUCUUCUCCGCUCUUAUACCUUCUUUCACCCGCUCUCCCCCUCCCUAAGCAUUAUAGACCUUGUUUGCGUCAUGCGGUGCGAUUGAAACCUACCAUAGGUGAUUAAUUCCAGCACCAAGUAAGCAUGUCUAGAGAUUACACAACACAUUCUUUUAACCCUAGGAAAAUAAAUGAGGAUUGUUCAAAAAUUAAUAAUGAUAGAACUGUUCGCGAACAAAGACGAACCGAACUACAUGGUUCGUGAACAUGUUCAAUCGAGCAAUUGAAUGGAACACUAUGUGCGAACUCGAUUCGACUAGGCAAGCAAGUCGAACUCGAACCAAACCGGUUCGCGAACAGUUCGGUUCGUUUGCAGCCCUAAUCUUAAGUAAUUACAUUUAGAACUAAAGUGGCCAGUUUGUGCUAAUUUUAGGACUAGGGCUUCUUUUCUCGUCAAGAAUAUACAGCAAGGGAAAGUAAGGGUUUUGACAAGCAUCUACAAUGAAGGACAAAGAUCAUUAACAUGCUGGAGGAGAGUCUACAAUAGAUGAAAAGGGCUAUGAAUUAAUUUCAGUAUAGAAGGAUGACGAGAGCUUGAAACUUUGAGGUACUGAUAAUUGGUACGAUGAUGGAAAGCUGCAAACCUGAGGUCGGGAAUUAAUGUUUUCUUAAUGGUGAUGUAAUAAACCAACAAGUCAGUCAGUCUGGGUUGUAUAACAAAUAUGUUAAUCAAUUGUUUUGUAAUGAUUUUAAUGAAGUUUAGGUGAAAAGGAUGACUUAUGGACUAUUUAGAGAUUUAAAUAUUUAAUAUGAUUAAAUAGAGAGCAGAAGAACUAAGUCAGUCCAAGGUUUACCUUAAAAAAAUUCAAUUCACUUGAGCUAGAUACUAAACCGAUAUAGGACAAGAACAUGUAAGUAAGAAAAGGUGAGAGACGAGCAUAGUUGUCACGGCGCUACAGCGAGGAAUGGCGGUAGCCGACCGCCAGGACGCCUAGGCGAUAAGGUGACUGUCACGGCGUCCAUAUGGCGAUAAGUCGUUCAGAGUGCAAUUUAUACAUUAUUUAUUUACUUCAGAAGUACACUAAUGAAAUUUUAUAUACAUUAAAACCCAAAACAUAAUAACAAACACUAUGAAAUACCAUUAAAAACACAAUUAUAUGAAUGUAUUACCUAUUUUUAUUUUCACAUCUGAAUGUAUUACUAAUUUAGUAUGCAGUAACUAUUAAAAUAUUAGAAAAAAAAUUAAAUUAGUACCAAAAAGUAAAACACCACCAAAUGGAAAAGGAGGAAUAAUUUAUAAAAUACUUGAGUAAAUAUUUUAUCAUUUGAAAUUUUGCAUAAUCAAAAUAGUGUUUACAUUUUGUUUUUCCAAGUCUUGAUCACUUUUAUUCAAACUCUAUCAUUUAUACAAUGUCAGAGAGAAUAAAUUACUAUAAUUAUUUACACUUUAUCAAAAAGUAAACAAUAAAUUAUUUAUUUACAGUGCGAGACUCUUUAUUAUUGGGAAAACAAUCCAAUGCGUGUGAGAGAGGGAGAGGGAAAGACUUGAAAGAGAAACGAAACUCAAAGAGUUAUUGUCGGUGUGCGGCUUGACCCUCAGUAGGCGACGCUACUGUUGUAUUCUGCUGCUGCGUGUGUCAGCAUGUGUGCAUGACUACUGCUGCUGCUUGAUGUUACUGCUGCAGGUCGAAGCCGUGGAUACUGGUUAGGGUUUCUUCUCUACCUCUUUUGAUCACGAUCGGUAGAAGAAAAAGUCGCAUAAGACUUGGGUUCUCUUCUCUCCUUUUAAGUCCAUGGGUCAUGGAUGAAGUCCAUGGGUCAUGAAUUAUAGGAAAGCGAACUUAAAAUCGACCCAACCUUCAGCUACCAAGGCGCUCGCCUUGGUCCACGACGUCGCCUAACUGUCAAGGCGAGAUCGCUUUGACAGCCUCCCCCAAGGCGAGCGUCGCCAUGCUACUUGUUGUUGCGUCAGGACGCCUAGGCGACCCCAUGGCGACGCCGUGAAACUAUGAGGUACCUGAUAAUUGAUGCAAUGAUGGAAGAGCAAUGAAGUUGAGGUUGGGAAAUUAAUGCUGGUCUUGAAUGGUGAUGUAAUGAACUGAUGCAUCACAAUCUUGGGUUGUAUAACAACGAUAUCAAUCAAUGAUAGUGGAAUGAAGUUAGGUGAUCCAUGAUAAAGAUUACUUAUGAACUAUUUGGUAAUUUUAUAAUAUUUAAAAGAAGAGGAUAGAGCAGCAGAACUAUAUUCAGUUCAAGCCUCCAAUGUUUGAAAUUUAUAGAUCCACUUAAGCUUGAUACUAAACUGAUAUAGGAUAAGGCCACGUGAAUAAGAAAACAUCACAGAAGAAGAGUGUUUGAUCCCCGCAAAGUAUCCUUUAUACCCGUUGAUGAUGACAGAUAUAGCCUACAUUACAAAGCUUUAUUUCAUAGAAAUUACUUUGCUGAAAAUAUGGGAAUGACAUCAUAUUUAUAUAUAUAACUAAUAAACGAAACCUACUACUAUUAGCAUUGGAUUUCAACUAAGAUAUGAUUAAGAUACGCAAACCAACUUACACCAGAUGAGCUAGACACCUAAUAAUCCUUCAUUUUAGAGUUAAAUGGUCUGAAUCCUAAUUUUAAUUAACCAGCUAUGAUCUGAAUCCUAAUUUUAAUUGGCACGUCUCCCGCAUUAUUGUCUACCCAAGAUAAAGUCCUUUUAAUAAAUAGAUCACAUAAUAGUACAAAUUUCAACCACUCCCGUUUCAAUGACAAAAGUGACGAAUAUUAUAAAAAAUUUAAGAAAUUAGAUUAUAUAUAAACCUGAUAAGCUUUGAGAAUCAGUCAGAGACUGUACCUUGUAUCUAACGACCUCAUAUGUCCCAUAUACAGCACCUGCACGUUAGCAUAUACAUUAGAUAUAUGGACAUAUCAUAUACAUCAAUUUACUUGGAGUAGAAAACCAACCAAACUGAAAAUAAAUAUACCAAAAGGCAUAAGAACUAAAACUAUUUCAUCCAAACAUAAAUGAAUACAUAUUCUUCUUGUUAUUGUACUUUCCCCAACCAAACCAAGGGCAGACACCCAUAGGUGGAAACAGUAAAUGUCCUUGAACAAAAAAAAGAUAAUUAAACUGCAAAUAAAAGGUCUAUUUGGGAUGUGAACUAGGAUAUCUAAAAUAAUAUGGCUUUAGACAACGAAAUUUUAUAGUUAAAAUAAUUAACUUGAGCCUUGUCAGAGAAAUUCUUUUGAGGUGGUAAUUUCCAGGAAAAUGUAGAUAUUUAGGUUAUUAAGAAAGCAAAGGAUUAAGAUGCUAUACCUAUUUCAAAGUACUUCCAACAUACAAAGUGCAAGAAAAUCCACAAAACAAGGCCAUGAUUAUGAGCCAAAUGCCAGGUUAAUGCACUUUACAAUAAUGCACCGAGAAACAAAAAUAAAUUUCUUCCAAAUCAUGUACUCGCUUAAUGCUACGAAUGUCAAGAACCCAACCCAUGAAAUUAGGUGUAUGCUAGUUGAACUUUUGAGCUACUUUUUCAUAUAAAUGAAUUCCAAAUUGUGGAAAUCCAUUCUCCCAUGUCCCAAAGGCAGCGUCAAGGGAAUUGAUUUCAUAUGCUUUUUUAAACUGGAAUCAUAAAUAUACAUCUAAAUGACUUGGAGAAACUACAAUCAACGUAAUUAACAUAGUUGUCAAUAUCUUACGAUACAACGAAACGAUGUGACACAUAAGCAAUUUGAUACUGUAUCUUAAAGUGAAUUGUAUCUGAUGUUGUGAUGCAUUGUAUCUUGUAUCUUACAAACCGAUACAAUUUACAAUAAGGUAAGGAUACAUUUUUAAGUUAGAGACAGACUUGAUAGGAGCUAAAACAAUACAUAUUUGAUGCGAUACAGAAGAAGAAAUCAAGAAGUUUAUUAUUAAUUUUUUAUUGUUAUUUAGAGAUAAAUGUUGAGUUAUUACUGAAAUUAUUUAGUAAGAUAUCCUAGAAAUUUUAAUUAUACUAGUAGCUUUUCAUUUUAGGAGAGUUUUAAUUGUAGUAGUAGAUUUCAAUUAGGAGAGUUUAUUAUAGUAGUAGAUUUUAGUUAGGAUUUUGUUUCCUUUCUAAAUUAGGGUUUUUACUUAGUCCCAAGUAUUGUGUUUUCUAUUUAAGCAUCGUAAUACUUCAUUAUUUUUAAAUUAUUGAAUGAAUUGAUUUGAUAUUAAAGCUGUGAACUUUUGUGUAUUUCUUUACCGAUUCUUUGUGGAGCUCUUAUUCCUUCUUCCUACCCCGUCCUACAUCAAUAUUUUAUAUAGUACAAAGUAGUUCACUCAUUCUAUACAAAGAAACCAUAAAACGCUUUCUAGCAUUUGUUAUCUUCUUUUUUCUUUUUUUCUUUUUUUUUUAUCAGGUAAAGUAAGGGGAUUAAAACUAACAAUCUUGAGAUCAUUCCUCAAGACCUCUGCCAUUUCUCCAACCCUUGGGGUUCUUGGGUUCAUAAUCUUGUUUUAGAAACCGUCUUACAUUCUUUUUUAAAUGUCUCGCAUUCUUUUUUAAAUGUCUCUUUCUCACUAUAGCAUAUACGGCGAGUCAUGGCGGUAGCCGACUGCCUGGACGCCUAGGCGGUAGCCGACUGCCUGGACGCCUAGGCGGCAAGGCAACCACUAUGACGUCCGUAUGGUGACAAGUCGUUUACAAUGUGCAAUUUAUAUAUUAUUUAUUUUACUUAACAAGUAUAUUAGCAAUAAAAUUUCAUAUACAUUAAAACUCAAAACAUAACACUAUGGAAUAACAUUAAAUAUAUUUUUAAAUCCCAUUGAUAGUGUUAUAUAAUAUAUAUAGUGUAUUAUUAAAUUAAUAAUUAAGUGUAUAUAGUAUUUAUUUUCAAAAUAUUUCAUGCAACUAUCCUACAUAUUAAAUAUAUUUAUAUUUUAAAAUUAAAAUAUACAUAGUUAAUUAAAUAUUAUAUUUUAUUUAAAAUAUUAUAUAUAGUUAAUAGUUAAGUGUAUAUAGUAUUUGUUUUUAGUUAAUAUAAUAGUUAUUUUUUAUGUAUUUAUUUCAUUAUCAUUAAAAUUAUUUAUUAGUAUUUAUUUUAUUUUUAUUAUUUUGUUUAUUUAAAUAUAUGUAUAUAAUAUUAUUUUGUUUUAUUUUAUCUUAUUUUUUAUAUUAUCAUAAUUAUUUAAUUAAUAACAAUAGAAAUUUUAUAUAAAUUUAAUUAUUUUUAACAUAUUAUUUGUUGUUUAUUUAAAUAUAUAUUAAUUUCUUUUUAGUAUAUAUGAUAUAUAUUAAAUAUAAUAUUUUUUAAUUUUUAAUUUUUAAUUUGAUUUUUUUAUUAUAUAUAUGUAUAUAAAUUUAUACAUAUAUAAAUUUAUUUAUAUAUAGAGACCCAACAACAAAGCAAAAAGGCUAACAAAAAGAAAAGGGGAAGGCAGCAGUAAGCAAUAGUCAAAUAUUCAAUUGACAAAAUUCUCUCUCGCAGUCUCGCUCUCAGUAAGCAGAAAAGGGGAAGGGGAAAAAAAGAACGACAUACCUGUUGAUCAAUCGAUUACUCGCUUUCUUCUUCUCUCUCGGUCGAUCUUCUGAGUUUUGCGAAUUAUUCGAUCGAUCGACUCUUCUAGUUCUAGGGCUAGUUUUCUUGUUCCAGCGACAUCGUUUUUUUAACCCAAUUCAGAUUUGGGUCGAUCCAUACCCAUAUAAGCCAAGUCACUCGAUCAGCCGGUUAGUCGUCCGAGUCGUCGCCGUACUGUCAAAGGCGACGUCUUUUUUUUCUAGGCGCCCGCCUUUCCACCAUCGACCAAGUCGUUCAGACGCCUUGCCUGUUCUUUACCGACUUACCGACUUGGCGACGCCUUAACAACUAUGCAAUGGAGACCUAAAUACAUGGGCUUCAGAGCUCUUCACGUUGCAAUUUAGGGCUUACAUUUACUUUGGGUUUUACAUUGUAUAGUUAAAGAUAAGUUUUUUUUCCUGUCAUUUUUCCCACCCCUUGGGGUUGUACAGUUUGUUAUCUUGUUUUAAAAACUCACAUUAUUUUUUUCAAUGUCUAUCUCACAUGGAGACCUAAACACAUAGGCUUUGAAGUUGACUUUUGCUCUCCAAUUUACAAUUUAGGGUUUAAGCUUACUUUGGGUUUUACAUUAUAUAACUAAAGGUAAGUUAAAAAAAUUCUCUUGUUCCUGUAUAAAUAGUGCUUAUACUAUUAAUUAAGCCUCUAAUUUAGAGUCUUCAAUCUAUAAUUUUAAUAUCUAACGUUUUGUAGGCUUAUUUAACUCUUUUAACACUAAACUUAUGCUAAUAUAUUUUAUUGCUUGGUAACUUGAGUUUGUUUAGAUUUAUAAAUAUUGUGUUUUCCAUUUCUUAAUGAAAGACAUGAUCACUGAUCAGGAUUCGACAACUAUAGUGAUUAGGCAAACAUUUCACUGUGAACAAUUAUAUGAACAAGCUAAGCCACUGAUUAGGUAAGGAGGCCAGGAGGGCAAUUUCUUUGAAUGUUCAUACUAUUAACAAAAAGGGCUUCAAGGUGAACUGCCUUAUAAAUUUGACCCAGGAUAAAAAUUAAAACUUAAAUAUUUGCUCCUCUUAUCAUAUAAAAAUAUUGACAUUUUCAAACUUUUGCACAUCUUAAAAUAAUAAAUUUAUGGAUUCACAAUUCAGCCAAAAAAUAAUAAUAACAAUAAUCUGGUUCACCCCUGAUAUAUAUGCACAUAUACGCAAACCUACGGAGAUGAUACCUAACUACAAUCAUAAUUUGCUUCUAAAACAAACAGAAUCCAGACUUACCAACAGCUAUAAAAAUAAAUUAGGGGUUUGGAGAGCUACAAAAAUAUAUGGGGAUGAAGUUUAGGGUGUUGAUAUAUUCUUACCAACAGCGCCACCUACAGCGCCGCCAACUGCAACUCCGGCGGUUAUUCGGGCGAGACAACUAUCCCUUGCCAUCUCUGAGCAGUGUUUUGCUUUUCCGGUUACUCUUGUUAGGCGGGCGUUCAGAACAAGUAAUAAAGAUCUGCUUUGGCUUGGUAUAUGUAACUAUAUACUGUACAAGUACUGAACCUAUCUACUCUAGAUCUAAAGAGAGAAAAUUCAGACGUUAAAAUUUCACAAGUAGAAGUGUAGAAGUACGACCAGGAGUAGGACAAAGAAACAAAAAAAUCGGG